CUUUUCUUCCGAAGUGUGGAAGGAGCUGGUCACGCGAAGACACAGCAAUAGAACUUAAGAAGGCAGAUGAUCAUGGCUGCUGCCAAUGGAAGGCAUCAUUGCAAAGAUUGGGGUGCUGAAACUGUGACUUUCUGAAGCAAAAGCAGUGUGCUUCUACUAUGAGACGAUUUUAUGGCUACAUUCACAUGCUACCUCUCACCUUCACCAGAUUCAAGGAUUCCCACUGGAAAAGGAUGACAUGAGAAAUGCAGAUAGACAAGGAAACGAAUGGUCCAAAGAUUGCCACUAUAAAUGUGUAACAUGUAAAAAGACUGGUCUGCUUUCUCAGGUCCAAUUACAAAUGGGUAACAGGAAGUGCUAAAUAAAUAAAGGCUGGUCCAAAAAUAGCCACUAGAAAAGUGAAACAUAAGAACUAAAAUAAGACUGGUGUGACUUGACAAUCACAUGAGAAGUGCAGAUGAAUAAAGGCGGUUUACUUUAAACUGGUGUGCACAAAAUUCAGGAUCUGCUUGCGAUGUUCCUCCAACUCAAGGUCCCGCUGGUUCAAGGAGUCCAGGUCAUGGAGAGCACAGGGAAAUGCUGCAUCGGGUGGAAAGAUGAGUGCUGAGGCUCCUGCAUUCCCAAAACAAACAUUCUUAUUCCCAAACUCUCAAUAACAUUAUCAAGAGCUUGAUCUUCACUAUAAAAUAAAAAUGGUGCAAAUGUACGUAAUAAAAUCAUUCUUGAAUA